UGGGCGUUAAGUUGCAGGGUAUAGACCCGAAACCCGGUGAUCUAGCCAUGGGCAGGUUGAAGGUUGGGUAACACUAACUGGAGGACCGAACCGACUAAUGUUGAAAAAUUAGCGGAUGACCUGUGGCUGGGGGUGAAAGGCCAAUCAAACCGGGAGAUAGCUGGUUCUCCCCGAAAGCUAUUUAGGUAGCGCCUCGUGAAUUCAUCUCCGGGGGUAGAGCACUGUUUCGGCUAGGGGGCCAUCCCGGCUUACCAACCCGAUGCAAACUGCGAAUACCGGAGAAUGUUAUCACGGGAGACACACGGCGGGUGCUAACGUCCGUCGUGAAGAGGGAAACAACCCAGACCGCCAGCUAAGGUCCCAAAGUCAUGGUUAAGUGGGAAACGAUGUGGGAAGGCCCAGACAGCCAGGAUGUUGGCUUAGAAGCAGCCAUCAUUUAAAGAAAGCGUAAUAGCUCACUGGUCGAGUCGGCCUGCGCGGAAGAUGUAACGGGGCUAAACCAUGCACCGAAGCUGCGGCAGCGACGCUUAUGCGUUGCUGGGUAGGGGAGCGUUCUGUAAGCCUGCGAAGGUGGCCUGUGAGGGUUGCUGGAGGUAUCAGAAGUGCGAAUGCUGACAUAAGUAACGAUAAAGCGGGUGAAAAGCCCGCUCGCCGGAAGACCAAGGGUUCCUGUCCAACGUUAAUCGGGGCAGGGUGAGUCGACCCCUAAGGCGAGGCCGAAAGGCGUAGUCGAUGGGAAACGGGUUAAUAUUCCCGUACUUGGUGUUACUGCGAAGGGGGGACGGAGAAGGCUAUGUUGGCCGGGCGACGGUUGUCCCGGUUUAAGCGUGUAGGUGUGUGUUCCAGGUAAAUCCGGUUCACUUUAACACUGAGGCGUGACGACGAGGCACUACGGUGCUGAAGCAACAAAUGCCCUGCUUCCAGGAAAAGCCUCUAAGCAUCAGGUAACAUCAAAUCGUACCCCAAACCGACACAGGUGGUCAGGUAGAGAAUACCAAGGCGCUUGAGAGAACUCGGGUGAAGGAACUAGGCAAAAUGGUGCCGUAACUUCGGGAGAAGGCACGCUGACACGUAGGUGAAGUGAUUUACUCAUGGAGCU
rnacentral:rRNA from 1 species